ncrna:unclassified sequences RAGATH-10 RNA
GAAACCUCAUCUUGCUCAAGCGCCAUCCGGGCGCCAGGGCAGUGUUUUUAUAAAACACGGACAAUUCCGUCCGGGCGAGGAGAGAGU